rnacentral:rRNA from 1 species
GACGAACCGUGCGAACGUUGUUCGGAAUCACUGGGCUUAAAGGGCGCGUAGGCGGGUCAUCAAGUCCGGGGUGAAAGCCCCCAGCUUAACUGGGGAAGGGCCUUGGAUACUGAUGGUCUGGAGGGGGGUAGGGGCAGUGGGAACUUCCGGUGGAGCGGUGAAAUGCGUUGAUAUCGGAAGGAACGCCGGUGGCGAAAGCGCACUGCUGGACCUUUUCUGACGCUGAGGCGCGAAAGCCAGGGGAGCAAAGCGGG